rnacentral:lncRNA from 1 species
GAUGGGUCAUCAAACUGUCAAAGUGAUGAGGCGUCUGACGAAACAGUCUUCCAGUCUUGCUGUUGAAAAGGUGUCCGAGCAGGUUGAAUUUAGUCAUUGUUGGGUACUUUCUUACGUCAUUACGUGACAUUUUUUAUCACAGACAUGCAUUGCCUUUAAUUCAUAAUUGGCAAUUGCAUGUGACCUGCUGUACAUUUCUACAAUGUCGUCUCUUGCUGCAUGUUGCACGUUUCGUUCCAUGCAGAACAAUAAAAAUUGAGUAGUAAGGUCUGAGCUUCAUUGCAUUUUGUUUUGCAAAUUGUUUCAAUUGAGUUAUGCCACGAGCUUUUGCAGACAUUCAAUUUUCUUGAUAGAAAACUUGAGUGGGUUAGCAUUUGUCUAAAUUUGAGUCUACUCGAAAGUUAUAGGGUUCCUUAGUUUGAUGUUGGAACUGCCAAUGGUGUUGAUGCAGCGUUCAUAAUGUGAGCAGUGGUUUUGCCGUCAUUUUCCAGUUGAGAUGUCUUGAAAUGGAGCUUGUGCAGACACUCAGUUCAACAUAGUAUUUCAAUGAGAUUUACCUAAUGUUGGUGUUCUUGCAGUGUUGAAUGGUUGUGCAAAAUAGUUGAAGUUGCCUGGUGGCUGUCGGACAUGUUUUAUCGGCUGCCUUUUGUCGAUGUGUCGUCUCGUCUCUUGCCACCUGUACACACGUUAAGUAAACUAUGGCGUCGUGCUGCUGUUGAUUGUUUUUAAAUACCACAUCAUCGAGGCUCCAGAUUAUUACACUACAACUUAUGCUGCUCCGAACUGCAUCACCAAAGGGCCCGUGUACACUGUACACCAUGGCUCCGUAGUACUACACCACCAAAUCACCGAAGUACUAACGGCUACUUAUGCUGCGCCACCUUCUGAACCGCGACUCACUAAGUCCCUGGAGUACUACACCACAACCUACGUUGCUCCAGCUAACUACAUCGUAUUUCCUAAGUACUACACCACCAAGGCACCUGUGUACUACACCACUACGUGUGCAACAUCAACCCACUUCAUCGAAACUUCAACGGCUGACAACUACGCCGAAGCGCCUAACUACUACAAUGCUUCAAGUUACACAACCACAACUGAGGUAGCGGAGUACUUCAUAGCUUCGAAUUACUACACAGCUGCUUCUUCGUACUACGUUAACUAAAAUACUGCACGGAGACUUCAGUUUACUACACCGCAACCUACGCUAUAACUACUACACCGCAACCUACGCCAUAACUACUACAGCGAAGCUCCAAAGUACUGCAUCGAAAAGGUCGAAACGAAACGUCGUACUGCAUCAAAAACGUACGGUGCUCCAGUCUACUACACCGAGGAACUCGAUAAAAGGAGGGAAAAGGCGAAAGAAAAUAGUCGAUGGAUUAUCUCCAACACGGCAACAGUAAAUACAGUGAACUAUUUGUCAUCAACUUUAUUCUUUGUCGUAUACUAGUUUGCAAUCAUGGGGAACUAUGGGGUCAUGCUGCUGUUGGAUGUAUCGAUGAUGGCUGGGUCGACCACUGGUGUACUAAUGUUUCCUGUGUAUGGUGGAUAUCAAGCGACAGCAGCGAAAGAAAAGUACACUACGUCGCCGCCUUACUACACAACGUCAACAUGAGCAACACCACUUACUAAACUAAGAGGCUCUUAAAUACUGCACUACCAAGGCUUCCGAAUACAACACGAAAAUUAUGCUGCCCCGAGCUUCUACACCGAACUAUUACUCUGCCCCGAGUUACAUCACGAAAGCGCCUGAGUACUACAGUGAGUCUUCCAAGUUCUACACCAUCAAAGCUCCAAGCUACUACACCGAGGCUAAAGCUUAAUACUACACCGAAGCGGUCGAAUACUACACCGAAGCGUCCAAGAACUGCACUACAACCUUCUGCAGCUCUCUAUCUGUCACCAACUACCUUCUUCAUUGUAUAAAAUCGGUUUCUAAUCUUAGAUAGCGCUGAAGGUUGGGUUGAUCACUGGUGUAUUGAUGUUUCCUGGAUAUGACUGAUACCGAACCACUACAUCGCUGCCACGCUACACAACAACGAGGUCUCCAAGUACUACACUACUGUAGGACAGAAUACUACAAAAUUAUGUAUGCUGCUUCUGCCUACUACACCAAGGCCCCUUAUCCCCUACUGGUGGUCUACUGAAAUAUUAUGUCUGUUUUGUGUUCCAUCAGUGUAGUGUAUAAUUCAGACUAUUUGAUGGUGUUUUGUUUCCCAAUGUGGUGUGUUGCAGCUCAGGUUGGUGAAAGUUCUUUGACAUGAAGUUAUAACUGCGGUUGUCUCGAGCGAGGUCAUUUACUGGUCAUCUACUAAGGUUAUUUACUGUAUACUUGAAACUUAAACCUUUUCCAAUGUGGUGUGUUGCAGCUCUGGUUGGUGAAAAUUCUUUGACAUGAAGUUAUAACUGCAGUAUUCAAGCAAUGUUAAAGUUAUUUACUGUAUACUUGAAACUUAAACAUGUUGAAUUUUGAAACUUAA